CCGGCGGCGUGCAGCCAGGCGAGCACGGCCAGUUGGCCUCUGUCGGCCGCCGCAGCGCACAGCGCCUCACUCAGCGAGAGGACGCCCCUGGCGGCCAUCCAUUCGAGCGCCUCGAUGUGACCGCCGCGCGAGGCGGCCACGCAUACGGCGAAUCCACAGGCGUAGCCGCAGUUCCACAGCCAUUCCAUGAUCUGCACGUGGCCGCCCGCGGCCGCCUUGCGCAUCACCUCUGUGGCGCAGCGGCAGAUGCGGGUGCGACCGUCAAACACGGCCCGGCCGGCGCUCUCUAGAUCAUAGCACGCGCACCAAUCGUCGCAAGCGAGUUGACAAUGGGCCUUGGCGAGGACGAGCGCGUCGAGGUGGCCAGCGCGCGCGAUCGGCGCGAGGACGGCGGUGUGGCCGCGGUCGAUCGGAUCCGAUCGGGCGGUGAUCCACGUGAUGGCGUCGGUGUCGCCUCGAACCCCGGCGGCCUUUAGGCAACCGGCGACCUCCCACGGACAGCCGAGACCGACGAGACGGCAAAAGAGAUCGCGGUGUCCGGCGGCGAGGGCCGCGCGCGGCGCACGCGCGUCCCAUGGGCAACCCUCGUUGUGUGCCCAUGCGAUGAGCGCCUCGUGGCCGGACAUGGCCGCAGCCUCCACGGAGAGCAGCGCCCUCUCGCGCCUCCCCCAUGUCCCGACGACGCUGGGGCGGCGCGUACGGUUGAUGACGGCGCGCCACAGGCGACACACACGUGCGCACGAGACACGAUUGAGGCCCCGCGCAAAUUUCAACACCAUCUCGACGAGUUCAGGCGGCAGAUUGUCCAUCGAGCCUGUCGCUGUCGCCGUCGUCGCCAUGUAGGCAAAGAAUUUGUGGCGGUGCUGGCCUUUUUUCGCCCGUUUUUUCGUCGUGGCUGCGUG
rnacentral:lncRNA from 1 species